UGCGGUGGCUAUAGCGUCGGGGAUCCACCCCUUACCAUGCCGAACAGGGAAGUUAAGCCCGCCAGCGCCGAUGGUACUGCCCGGAAGGGUGGGAGAGUAGGCCGCCGCCGCUU
rnacentral:rRNA from 1 species